rnacentral:rRNA from 1 species
UACGUAGGGUGCAAGCGUUAAUCGGAAUUACUGGGCGUAAAGCGUGCGCAGGCGGUUAUAUAAGACAGAUGUGAAAUCCCCGGGCUCAACCUGGGAACUGCAUUUGUGACUGUAUAGCUAGAGUACGGUAGAGGGGGAUGGAAUUCCGCGUGAAGCAGUGAAAUGCGUAGAUAUGCGGAGGAACACCGAUGGCGAAGGCAAUCCCCUGGACCUGUACUGACGCUCAUGCACGAAAGCGUGGGGAGCAAACAGG